AACCCAUAUUGUGGACACUUCCGUAAGAGGCCCUUGAAUCGUUCCCAAGUCUCAAACAAAAAUUCAAGCUUCAUCUGAACAAAUAAAGAUAUCUCAUUAUGAAGCU